GAUGAACGCUGGCGGCGUGCCUAAUACAUGCAAGUCGAGCGAACGGACGAGAAGCUUGCUUCUCUGACGUUAGCGGCGGACGGGUGAGUAACACGUGGAUAACCUACCUAUAAGACUGGGAUAACUUCGGGAAACCGGAGCUAAUACCGGAUGAUAUCUUGAACCGCAUGGUUCAAAGGUGAAAGACGGUGUUGCUGUCACUUAUAGAUGGAUCCGCGCUGCAUUAGCUAGUUGGUAAGGUAACGGCUUACCAAGGCAACGAUGCGUAGCCGACCUGAGAGGGUGAUCGGCCACACUGGAACUGAGACACGGUCCAGACUCCUACGGGAGGCAGCAGUAGGGAAUCUUCCGCAAUGGGCGAAAGCCUGACGGAGCAACGCCGCGUGAGUGAUGAAGGUCUUCGGAUCGUAAAACUCUGUUAUUAGGGAAGAACAUAUGUGUAAGUAACUGUGCACAUCUUGACGGUACCUAAUCAGAAAGCCACGGCUAACUACGUG
rnacentral:rRNA from 1 species